rnacentral:lncRNA from 1 species
AAUUUUUUUUUUUUUUUUUUUUUUAGGGAUUUUUUCCAUAGGUUAUAUUGAUAUGUCAGUAGGAAAAGUGUCUGAAAAAUGUGACAGUAUCAUUAAAUGACAGAGUCAUUAAAUCAUUCAUUCAGGACCAAAACACAAAACAAGUGACUGUCUACGAAUCAUUCACUUAUUGCAUCUAAUUCAUUCAAAAACACGUUUCAUGUGGAAAAAUGUGACUGUCCCUAAAAGUGUCAUUCAUUCAAAUGAUUCAUCCAACAACAGUGAUACAUUCAGGAAUAAAUUAAGUUACUGUCCUUAUGAGUGACUCACUGAGUCAUUCUCUCAGAUGAUCUUGAGAGAAGAGGCACACAAUUACUUUAAGGCAGCAAUCUUUCCACUCCAACCAGGGCCGGAUUAAGGCUGGCUGGUUGCGUCGCUUCUUGGUCGGUCUGAGCGCGCAUGUACAGUGAGUGUCGAAGGCACAUGCACCAAUGCCGAGAGAAAAUAGGCCCUUUUUGCACCGCAGCAUCAGGAGCAAUUUGGUCUUAAUCCGGCCCUGACUACAACACUUUGCCCGCUCACCAAAUAACUGUGUUGGAGGCUAUAAAGGUGAAAAUCACACAUAUUUCAAAAUACCUGGAUUAAUUGGUUUUCCUUUUCAAAGUCCAUCUACCUCCUCAGGGACUCACAAAGGUACCCAACAUCACCUGAAUAAUGGGCUGAUCACUGAGAAGAAAAGAACAGAACCAAAGGGAUUUGGAUAAUAACGAUUUCAUCAGCCCUCUAAAACAGAACCAAAAAAACAGACACCUUGAAAUCUCCAUGGCGGCUGGAGGAUGUGGAUAAGUGUGUGAUAGUUCACACUCUCCCAGUGUGCACUAAUAACAUUGCAAAGUGAUCUGAGAGUGCUGCGACUGAAGGAAAGAGGAUGGCACGCUAUUCUGAACCGCAGCACAGAAAUCAGGAAUAUCUUGAUGGGACGCAGUGCAGUAGAAAUUCCUUUUGGAAAUCUAUCUGUAUACUGUGUGAAACCAAUAAUGAACUGACAAAACUGAUGUCAACAGUUACACAACGCUGAACGCCUCACCUGUAGCUUACACUAUGAGUAAGAGACCUCGUGCUAAACCCAAAUAUUAGGGUUGAGUGUUUCUCUCCCUUUUCCCAUGAUGCAGCAAGUGCUAACACCCUUUCCAUCAUUCUAGGCAUGUUUACAAGUGCUAUAGCCACAAGAUUGUCCAAAAGCUUAAAUCUUGUUCAAAGCAAAAUGCAUUCUUUUUUCUCGACAGGGUUGUUUUUUUAUGUAUAAAUGUAAACUUUUCUAGAUAGACCUAUCAUGAACAGUAAGAUCAAGCUGUAAUAAUUCAUCAGUAGAAAACAAAUGUGAUUGAAGCAUUGUUUAAUAUCCAACAAUUAGUACAAAAAAAAAACCUACAAG